rnacentral:lncRNA from 1 species
GCUGAUUACAUGCCCACUCAUGGGUCAAUUCACAUAGCAAAGUGAAUGAUCCAUGCUUGAUGGUCACAAACUGGUCAGCACAUUCCUUAGUAUGAUGCCCAUAUUGCCCAGCCUGGUAUGCACCAUACUAUGUGGAACAAUAUGCUAUGGCACUAAAUCCAUGAUCUUAAGUAGUUGAGCUGUAUGAGUUCAACAUCAUAGUAUUUGUGAUUUUCUCUCAUUCUGGGGAGACUUCAAUUAUGUAGAUCUGGAAAAGGUGUCCUUGAUGUUUGUUGGUCAUAAUAGGUGAGUAAUAUGUUAAAAUGAUGGCAUUCUUUUCUUGGUUGUGUCAUAGAGGAAUACAGGAUACGUGGG